CCUACGGGAGGCAGCAGUGGGGAAUAUUGGACAAUGGGCGCAAGCCUGAUCCAGCCAUGCCGCGUGAGUGAUGAAGGCCCUAGGGUUGUAAAGCUCUUUUGUGCGGGAAGAUAAUGACGGUACCGCAAGAAUAAGCCCCG
rnacentral:rRNA from 1 species